GUAAGAAAGCCAGCAAGAUAACUAGCAUUUUAUUGAAGAUAUAUGGAUGGAUACUCGUGAUAAAAAUUGAUGGACGAAAUUAAGAGAACAUUUUUUGGUUUCUAAACUGUCAUUUAUAUACUAGAUAUUAUGUAGAAUAUUAUGCUGGCACCCUCCUCUGCUUCCACACCCUCGACUAUUGUUUUAUAUGCAUCCAUCUAGCAUUACAAGUUGGGUCCAUCUAAAACAUAAGGAGAUCUAUGAUUUUUGAAACAUGUCAACAGCAUCUGAAUGCAUGUGCAUAAGCAAUUUCCGACUAGAUUUUGGAUGGUUGCCAUCCCUCUUUACAUGUCCCCAUUUCCAUCCCUAUUGUAGAGUCCCUGCUACAUUUUUUUAUAAAAAAGUAUUUGCAGUUUUUAUUUUAGUGGCCCUUAGAAGCCAUGAGUUGAAAAUCUCUCUCUCUCUCUCUCUCAUGGUUUGGAAUAAGUUAAUAUUUAAAAUGGCUAACGUAAGAGUAAUAUAUAUAUAAUCUUUGUCUUAGUUAUCCGAGGAGAGAUAGAAAGUGGCUUAUCCAGCAAGAAGUCAAGAGAAUUUAUCCUAGAAUAACUAGAAAUAGAUUAGUCUUCCACUCUCCAUUUUGCUUGACUAAUUAAGCUAAUGCUUUUAGGCUACCAUUACUAAAAGCAAGAAAAACAUUUGCAUUGAAAGUUCAAUGAAGGAAAUUAAAUCCUUUUAGACCCUAGAAUGUCAAGAACAUAGCUAAGCUACCAUUUACUAUUAUAGAAAAAAUGUCAAUAAAUAAAAAUAAGGAGUCGGUCUCCU
rnacentral:lncRNA from 1 species